GAUGAAGAACGUAGCGAAAUGCGAUAAGUAAUGUGAAUUGCAGAAUUCAGUGAAUCAUCGAAUCUUUGAACGCACAUUGCGCCCGUCGGUAUUCUGGCGGGCAUGCCUGUUCGAGCGUCAUUACGCCCCUCAAGUCCCCUGUGGACUUGGUGUUGGGGAUCGGCGAGGCUGGUUUUCCAGCACAGCCGUCCCUUAAAUUAAUUGGCGGUCUCGCCGUGGCCCUCCUCUGCGCAGUAGUAAAACACUCGCAACAGGAGCCCGGCGCGGUCCACUGCCGUAAAACCCCCCAACUUUUUAUAGUUGACCUCGAAUCAGGUAGGACUACCCGCUGAACUUAAGCAUAUCAAUAAGCGGAGGA
rnacentral:misc_RNA from 1 species